rnacentral:rRNA from 1 species
AUUAGACGAAUCAUCUGGAAAGAUGAAUCAAAGAAGGUAAUAAUCCUGUAGUCGAAAAUGUUGUCUCUCUUGAGUGGAUCCUGAGUACGACGGAGCACGUGAAAUUCCGUCGGAAUCUGGGAGGACCAUCUCCUAAGGCUAAAUACUCUCUAGUGACCGAUAGUGAACCAGUACCGUGAGGGAAAGGUGAAAAGCACCCCGGAAGGGGAGUGAAAUAGAACCUGAAACCGUGUGCUUACAAGUAGUCAGAGCCCGUUAAUGGGUGAUGGCGUGCCUUUUGUAGAAUGAACCGGCGAGUUACGAUUUGAUGCAAGGUUAAGCAGUAAAUGUGGAGCCGUAGCGAAAGCGAGUCUGAAUAGGGCGUUUAGUAUUUGGUCGUAGACCCGAAACCAGGUGAUCUACCCUUGGUCAGGUUGAAGUUCAGGUAACACUGAAUGGAGGACCGAACCGACUUACGUUGAAAAGUGAGCGGAUGAACUGAGGGUAGCGGAGAAAUUCCAAUCGAACCUGGAGAUAGCUGGUUCUCUCCGAAAUAGCUUUAGGGCUAGCCUCAAGUGAUGAUUAUUGGAGGUAGAGCACUGUUUGGACGAGGGGCCCCUCUCGGGUUACCGAAUUCAGACAAACUCCGAAUGCCAAUUAAUUUAACUUGGGAGUCAGAACAUGGGUGAUAAGGUCCGUGUUCGAAAGGGAAACAGCCCAGACCACCAGCUAAGGUCCCAAAAUAUAUG